GAUGAACGCUGGCGGCGUGCCUAAUACAUGCAAGUCGAGCGAACAGACGAGGAGCUUGCUCCUCUGACGUUAGCGGCGGACGGGUGAGUAACACGUGGAUAACCUACCUAUAAGACUGGGAUAACUUCGGGAAACCGGAGCUAAUACCGGAUAAUAUAUUGAACCGCAUGGUUCAACAGUGAAAGACGGUUUUGCUGUCACUUAUAGAUGGAUCCGCGCCGCAUUAGCUAGUUGGUAAGGUAACGGCUUACCAAGGCGACGAUGCGUAGCCGACCUGAGAGGGUGAUCGGCCACACUGGAACUGAGACACGGUCCAGACUCCUACGGGAGGCAGCAGUAGGGAAUCUUCCGCAAUGGGCGAAAGCUUGACGGAGCAACGCCGCGUGAGUGAUGAAGGUCUUCGGAUCGUAAAACUCUGUUAUUAGGGAAGAACAAAUGUGUAAGUAACUAUGCACGUCUUGACGGUACCUAAUCAGAAAGCCACGGCUAACUACGUG
rnacentral:rRNA from 1 species